GAUGAACGCUGGCGGCGUGCCUAAUACAUGCAAGUCGAGCGAACAGACGAGGAGCUUGCUCCUCUGACGUUAGCGGCGGACGGGUGAGUAACACGUGGAUAACCUACCUAUAAGACUGGGAUAACUUCGGGAAACCGGAGCUAAUACCGGAUAAUAUAUUGAACCGCAUGGUUCAAUAGUGAAAGACGGUUUUGCUGUCACUUAUAGAUGGAUCCGCGCCGCAUUAGUUAGUUGGUAAGGUAACGGCUUACCAAGGCGACGAUGCGUAGCCGACCUGAGAGGGUGAUCGGCCACACUGGAACUGAGACACGGUCCAGACUCCUACGGGAGGCAGCAGUAGGGAAUCUUCCGCAAUGGGCGAAAGCCUGACGGAGCAACGCCGCGUGAGUGAUGAAGGUCUUCGGAUCGUAAAACUCUGUUAUUAGGGAAGAACAAAUGUGUAAGUACCUAUGCACGUCUUGACGGUACCUAAUCAGAAAGCCACGGCUAACUACGUG
rnacentral:rRNA from 1 species